rnacentral:misc_RNA from 1 species
GAGGCUGCUAUCAGAGACUCGAGUUUCUUGGGGAUGCUGUCUUGGAUUACUUAAUCACAUCAUAUCUGUUUUCUGUUUAUCCCAAGUUGAAGCCUGGUCACUUGACAGAUCUGAGAUCAGCAUUGGUGAACAACAGAGCCUUUGCCAAUGUUGCAAUUGAUCGAUCUUUCCACAAGUUUCUUUUAUGUGAUUCCAGCAACCUUUCAGAGGCAAUAAAAAAUUAUGUGGAUAGUGUUAAAACACCAGCAUCAGGAAGGGGUUUGCUUGAAGGUCCAAAAUGUCCCAAGGUGCUUGGUGACUUGGUGGAGUCUUGUCUGGG